GGGAAAGGCGAAAAGAACCCCGGCGAGGGGAGUGAAAAAGAACCUGAAACCGUGUACGUACAAGCAGUGGGAGCCUCUUAAUGGGGUGACUGCGUACCUUUUGUAUAAUGGGUCAGCGACUUAUAUUCUGUAGCAAGGUUAACCGAAUAGGGGAGCCGAAGGGAAACCGAGUCUUAACUGGGCGUUAAGUUGCAGGGUAUAGACCCGAAACCCGGUGAUCUAGCCAUGGGCAGGUUGAAGGUUGGGUAACACUAACUGGAGGACCGAACCGACUAAUGUUGAAAAAUUAGCGGAUGACUUGUGGCUGGGGGUGAAAGGCCAAUCAAACCGGGAGAUAGCUGGUUCUCCCCGAAAGCUAUUUAGGUAGCGCCUCGUGAAUUCAUCUCCGGGGGUAGAGCACUGUUUCGGCAAGGGGGUCAUCCCGACUUACCAACCCGAUGCAAACUGCGAAUACCGGAGAAUGUUAUCACGGGAGACACACGGCGGGUGCUAACGUCCGUCGUGAAGAGGGAAACAACCCAGACCGCCAGCUAAGGUCCCAAAGUCAUGGUUAAGUGGGAAACGAUGUGGGAAGGCCCAGACAGCCAGGAUGUUGGCUUAGAAGCAGCCAUCAUUUAAAGAAAGCGUAAUAGCUCACUGGUCGAGUCGGCCUGCGCGGAAGAUGUAACGGGGCUAAACCAUGCACCGAAGCUGCGGCAGCGACACUAUGUGUUGUUGGGUAGGGGAGCGUUCUGUAAGCCUGUGAAGGUGGCCUGUGAGGGUUGCUGGAGGUAUCAGAAGUGCGAAUGCUGACAUAAGUAACGAUAAAGCGGGUGAAAAGCCCGCUCGCCGGAAGACCAAGGGUUCCUGUCCAACGUUAAUCGGGGCAGGGUGAGUCGACCCCUAAGGCGAGGCCGAAAGGCGUAGUCGAUGGGAAACAGGUUAAUAUUCCUGUACUUGGUGUUACUGCGAAGGGGGGACGGAGAAGGCUAUGUUGGCCGGGCGACGGUUGUCCCGGUUUAAGCGUGUAGGCUGGUUUUCCAGGCAAAUCCGGAAAACCAAGGCUGAGGCGUGAUGACGAGGCACUACGGUGCUGAAGCGACAAAUGCCCUGCUUCCAGGAAAAGCCUCUAAGCAUCAGGUAACAUCAAAUCGUACCCCAAACCGACACAGGUGGUCAGGUAGAGAAUACCAAGGCGCUUGAGAGAACUCGGGUGAAGGAACUAGGCAAAAUGGUGCCGUAACUUCGGGAGAAGGCACGCUGAUAUGUAGGUGAAGCGACUUGCUCGUGGAGCUGAAAUCAGUCGAAGAUACCAGCUGGCUGCAACUGUUUAUUAAAAACACAGCACUGUGCAAACACGAAAGUGGACGUAUACGGUGUGACGCCUGCCCGGUGCCGGAAGGUUAAUUGAUGGGGUUAGCGGUAACGCGAAGCUCUUGAUCGAAGCCCCGGUAAACGGCGGCCGUAACUAUAACGGUCCUAAGGUAGCGAAAUUCCUUGUCGGGUAAGUUCCGACCUGCACGAAUGGCGUAAUGAUGGCCAGGCUGUCUCCACCCGAGACUCAGUGAAAUUGAACUCGCUGUGAAGAUGCAGUGUACCCGCGGCAAGACGGAAAGACCCCGUGAACCUUUACUAUAGCUUGACACUGAACAUUGAGCCUUGAUGUGUAGGAUAGGUGGGAGGCUUUGAAGUGUGGACGCCAGUCUGCAUGGAGCCGACCUUGAAAUACCACCCUUUAAUGUUUGAUGUUCUAACGUUGGCCCGUAAUCCGGGUUGCGGACAGUGUCUGGUGGGUAGUUUGACUGGGGCGGUCUCCUCCUAAAGAGUAACGGAGGAGCACGAAGGUUGGCUAAUCCUGGUCGGACAUCAGGAGGUUAGUGCAAUGGCAUAAGCCAGCUUGACUGCGAGCGUGACGGCGCGAGCAGGUGCGAAAGCAGGUCAUAGUGAUCCGGUGGUUCUGAAUGGAAGGGCCAUCGCUCAACGGAUAAAAGGUACUCCGGGGAUAACAGGCUGAUACCGCCCAAGAGUUCAUAUCGACGGCGGUGUUUGGCACCUCGAUGUCGGCUCAUCACAUCCUGGGGCUGAAGUAGGUCCCAAGGGUAUGGCUGUUCGCCAUUUAAAGUGGUACGCGAGCUGGGUUUAGAACGUCGUGAGACAGUUCGGUCCCUAUCUGCCGUGGGCGCUGGAGAACUGAGGGGGGCUGCUCCUAGUACGAGAGGACCGGAGUGGACGCAUCACUGGUGUUCGGGUUGUCAUGCCAAUGGCACUGCCCGGUAGCUAAAUGCGGAAGAGAUAAGUGCUGAAAGCAUCUAAGCACGAAACUUGCCCCGAGAUGAGUUCUCCCUGACUCCUUGA
rnacentral:rRNA from 1 species